AACAGCUUAAUCCUCUGAACUCCCAACAAUUUCUGGGUGUUUUUAUGUUGCUUUAUGUUAUUUAUCUGUACAUGUAAUCUUGUGUCGUGUGUUUUUUUUCUAAAUAUAUAUGUGUAUUUUUAUUUAUUUUAUUCCUUUUCACUCCUUUACUUAUUUUUUCUUUAUUAUUGUUAUACAAUUUUACUCAAGUGUAGUCAAUACUUCUCAUUAUCCUUGUUUUUAAUUAUUUAUUUAGACUUUUUCCUUUAUUUGACGGGUUGUAUGGCUGUCUGGGAUGGGGACAUUGUUGUUCUGUUUGUUAAAAUAAAACAAAAACUCAAUUUAAAAAAACAAUAAAAAUUAAAGAAAAAGGUCUUUUGUAAAGCAUGGCAAUGUAUGGUGCCAUAAACCAUAACAAAGAAAAAAAACAAACUAAUUUUAUAUUCCAUUAAUUACAAAAAACAAAACAUUUUUUUUUGUGUAUGUGUGCCCACAGGUGUUGCCAAAACUAGAAAAAGAGGUGGCUGUACAUGGGAUAAAUAUUUCUAAUUCCUACUUUCAGUUUUCAUGUGUUUCCCUACUUGUCUCCAUCUACUCUGUAUAAACACAGCCGGCAGUUCAGCCGAGAAAUCCCAGAAUUUCCGUCACUUGACUGUUAGUUGUAGUAAAAUUAUCAAUGGCUUCUCGGUUGUAGUGGGUAGUGAAGAAUUUUUUGUAUUUUUCUCUACAGAAUCUGGCUGUAAACACUUUUUUGGGUCAAAUUUUUAAAUAACACAUGUAAAAUACAGUGAUAUCUUUAAGUUUAGAUUUCACUAUUUUUCCUGGAGGAACUGCACGUCACACAUGAUUAGCUAACAGACCAUCAGAAAGUUACAAAUUCCAAAAUCUUUUCUAUUUUUGCAGUUUUUGGAUCUAACUAAUGCUGUAAUUUUAGUCCAUUUUUAAAAUAACAUGCUUUUCAAAUUCGUGUUUUUGGGGUUCAGAGGUUUAACUAACUCUGACUUUGUGAUGUAAUCUCAAACUCACAGGGAGUCUCAACAAAUCAGGGAGGAAAAAAAA